AGGGUUUGAUCCUGGCUCAGGAUGAACGCUAGCUACAGGCUUAACACAUGCAAGUCGAGGGGCAGCAUGUCGGUUGCUUGCAACCGACGAUGGCGACCGGCGCACGGGUGAGUAACGCGUAUCCAACCUACCCUUGUCCAUCGGAUAACCCGUCGAAAGGCGGCCUAACACGAUAUGCGGUUCUCAGCAGGCAUCUAACGAGAACGAAAUGUGAAGGAGAAGGAUGGGGAUGCGUCUGAUUAGCUUGUUGGCGGGGUAACGGCCCACCAAGGCGACGAUCAGUAGGGGUUCUGAGAGGAAGGUCCCCCACAUUGGAACUGAGACACGGUCCAA
rnacentral:rRNA from 1 species